UUGGCUAGUUCUUCCUUAUGCAGGUGUGGUGGAAUAAUGGAUUUGAUUGCAUAUCAAGAUGGACUUGAUUGACCGUUGCAAGACUGUAUGAAUCUGUCUACCUUUGAUUUACGGAUCAUAUUUUUUCCUUCUUAUUGUUGCAUAUGUGGUUCCCUUUUCUUUUGAAUUGUUUUACUUGAUUUCAUCAUAUUAAUCAAGAUAUGAUUGAUUGAUUCUGGAAGCUCUUAAUAUUUCUUUCCUUUCUUUGUUUUCUUUGGGGAUCAAGACAUAUCUCUUUUUGAUGUCUUUACCUGCGAAGAGUAUAAAUAACUGUUUAAGUGUCAUUUAUCAAAAUCAACUCCAUCUAUGGAGUUAACAAUCUCCCACUUUUUUAUAAUGACAAUUAAUACACAAUUUAGUAUAAUACUCUAAGAGACAGUGAAACUUCCCUGAUCUUGAUGUGUGUAUAUCCUGUUGGGAACUGUAGCUCCCCCUAUCUUCAUGACUUCUCUGUUGUGUUGGCUCCCCUUGUCUAUCUGAAUAUUGUGUGAGAAAAAAUCUCCCCUUUGGAAUAAUCAAAAAGAAAAACCAUACAUGAUAGUGAUAAAAAAAGGAAAUAUUAGAUAAUAAUAGAGCAACACUUAUGAGGAUAAUAGAUAUCAAUACUUGGUCCAAUAGACAAAGAUAGGACUGGAGUUGGUCUCUAUACUUGAGAGAAUCAACUCGCUGAAUCAACUUGUUGACUUCGGAGAUUCCUUCCUUUUCAAAAUAAUCGUAAAGAGUCUCCAAACCAUGUUCAUUAUUGUCUUGCAACACUAGGAUAGCUAACUCUGCAGAAAAGUUUGUUUGAAUGAUUGUUUCAACACUAGCCUUUACAAAGUCUUUUUUUUUCAACCAAUUGUUUUCUAGCUGCACAUUCUCCAUACUAGAUAAAAUACGAGAUUUUUAAGAGCAUUAAUAGCAUUAAGUGUAAACAUAGGGAGAUCCACAAGGUGAUCUAACAGAAUACGCAAGAUGAGCAACCCAUAUGGCAAGCUUGUAGCGGAACUUGUGUCUUCAGAACUUUUCAACAUGUAUUCUUUGAACCAUAACACUAAAUUGAAAAAGCGGUACUUCUCAAGUAGCUAAUAUAUAACAAAUACAUCUUGAGUAGAAUAAAUGCUUAGAAAUCCUUUCCUGGGAAUAAGAAUGGUGGCAACUAUCUGCCCAAUAUUCAUUGUUCAAAAUAAUGAGAUAAAGGUUAAAAAUUUUGGCAAGUCCCACUGGAAUUUUUUUCGAUCAUUUUUGUCACUUGUUUUUUUUCGCUCGAAUUGACCAAGAUCUUUCUUCAUAGCUUGUUUCUAGGAUUCAUCUUCCAUUGCUUCAUUUAUACGUUUUGGUUCAAUCUAAAAGACGAGUGCGAUGAAAACUUGCUUUUUUCCAUGAAGAUCUGAUUUGAAGUGAAUCAGUUGGUUUCCCCAUGAUGACCUUGUUUGUAUAGUUAACAUCGUGUCUCUAUUCUCUGGUCAUACCAGUGUUUCCUGCUGAUCUAGUCAACUCUAGUUCUUGAGUAGUUGACUUCUCUACUAUAAUAUGAUCAGAAGUAUUUGGGAGGUUCUUAGUGUUCACUGCAGAGUAGUUUCAUCAUCUAUAGACUCUAUCUCCUACAUACUUGGGUUAGUAAAAAGAAGAACAAAUUAUUCAACACAUUAAAGCUCUUUUAUUAAAAAUUGAAAUGCACGACCGACGGAUGCAUAAUAGUAUUCGUUCAUCCCUUCUUAUAUCAAACUUACCCAUAUUUGUCCAUUGCUGUGAAUGAGAGAUUUUCAUAUGAAAGGGUGAACAAAGUUUAUAUGGUUUUGGCGGACGAUUUUUCCAUUCUACCACCUGUUAUGCUGUGGUGAUCACACUGAUAAGUGUCACAUAUAUGGUCCAUUUCAAAUUUUUAACCUUUGGAAAAAAAUGACUAGUUCAAAUCUAGACGAGUUUUCAAGGCAUGCAAGCUGACAUGACCAAGUUUUUUGUGCCAUAGUCAAGAUUCAAUUGAUAGUCUGAUAGUGCAAGUUGUAGCAUUGAAUGAGAUUUUGAUUUCUACAUCGCAUAGUUGACUGAUGUUAAUCAGGUUGUGUUUAAGUCCCUUCACCAGGUAUACUUUUGAUUAUCAGCUAAGAGUCAUUAAUCCAACUCCUACUACUUCUAAUUUUGCAUUUUCUUUGAACUGUAACACCCUGCAAUUUUUUUGUUAUGAUUUUUGAAAUUUUCUUUCUUUCUGCACCUAUGUAUGGAGCACACACAUAUAUUCCAUUUCUGUAGGUUCUUUUUGCAUGCUUCUGCCAAACAAGUAGAUUACUUUGUUUUAGGUACCCAAGUAGUUUUGGAUCCUUGAGGGUUAGGAUUAACAACUUUUGGUCUCCAAAUCCAUUUUCCAAAAGAGAAUUUCCUACAGUUAAAAGAUUUGUGACCAAAGUCACCACAAGUAUAGCAACAGAAUUCAUAAGAGAGAUAAGAAGAAUUAGAUAUAGAUCUGUUGGAGGUACAAUUUUGAGAUCUUCUCCUGUAAUUGAGAGUAGAUCUUUUGGAUUCGUCAGAGCUAUGACUAGAAGAUUUUCUAAUAUUGUUCAACUGCAUUUUUACGUCCUCCAUGUUUUCUUCUAGUAAGUCAAUUUCAGUCUUUCUUUCUUCAAGAAGAAUUUGCCGAUUUUUGUUUUCUUGAGCAAUCUUAUGUAUUCAUCAAUGACUUUAUGCAGUUCAUCAUCAACCAUAUCCAAAGAUUCUUGUAAGGUAUCACAAUAUGGACAAUUAAAAGAUCUUACCUCACUUGUUUCACCUAGUGCCAUGAAUAUGUUGGCGGUGUCAUCUUAAUCAUUUUUAGAUGUUUCUCCUUGACUUUUGGCUUUUUCAUUUAUUCGAUUAUAUCUCCUUCUUCAUUCUUGAUAAUUUUGUUUGAUAUGUCCUGGUUUUCCACAAUAGUAGUAGCGAUCAUCAUUUCUUUUGAAUUAGUUGUUAUUGAAUUCCAGUUGAGGUCUCUUCCUUCUUUGUUUAAGCAUUUGUUUGACUUCCUUCACUUUGAUAUUCAUCGACUUCCUUUCCAAUGUCAAAAGUCUCAGCUGUAAAUGCCACAGUCUUUUUUUUAUCAUCCUUGUUGUCCCUAUUAAUAUGAUUCUGUUCAUAGGCCAUUAAGUUGCCUCUAAGUUCAUUGUAUGUCAUUUUUUUGCGGAUCUCCAUCUUCAAGAAUGACAUAUUUAGUUUCCCAAGCCUUGGGGAAACUUCUAACGAGUUUUCUAACUUGUAACGCAUUUGAAUACCCCAUUCCAAAUGAUUUGAAUUCACACACAAUUUUACUUAUGCUCGAGAACAUGGAUUCAACAUUUUCAUGUUCGGCCAUUUUGAAUAACUCAUAUGCAUUUACAAGUGUACUGAUCGGAGCUUCAUUUACUUUAGUAGUUCCUUCAUAAGUUACUUCUAGUUUGUCGCACAUUUCUUUUGCAGUUUCACAUGUCGAUAUUUUAUCAUAUUCUGCUUCACUCACUUAACAAUUUAAAAAACUUAUAACUCUAGCAUUAGUUUGAAUUACCUCUUGUUGUUCUUUAGUGAUAUCAAAUGAUUUAGGAUCAAAUGGCUUUUUCAGUUCCAUCUUUUUCAGUCAAUCCUGGAAUAGGCUUCGGGCCCUUCUUGAAUACUACCCAUGCUUGAUGAUCGUUUGAAGAGACAAAGAUUCUAAAUCUGUCUUUCCAGUGAGAGUAAUGUUGUCUAUUAAAGUAUGGUGGUCGGUAUGAGGAAUGUCCAUCUUGAAGUAACACGCCAGGAAUUUGACGGUGUGCCAUUGAAUCUUUGCUCACGCGUGAUUAAAAAUUGAAGUAGUGAGACCUUCUCGAUACCAAUUAAAAGUCAAGAGAUAAGGUGAAUUAAAAUUCCCUUCGAUUGACUUCCUAUGCUAGUUAGUCGACUAACCUGCAUGUUAGUAAAACAUACAAAUAGUAAUGAUAACUUGCAGCAAGUAAAUAAUAUAGAGUAUUUUUAUACUUGUUCGGAUCACCGAUGUUGUUCCUAGUCUAGUCCCCUUGGGUUACAAGGGUUUCCUUAAAAGCUUGUUGAGAACUUGGGUGUUAUAGAAUGUUACGAUUAAGAUCCCGUCUGAUAUGCAAAUCAGACCUUCUUCUUUGACACAACCUCUACCUGUAUAAACUACACUUAGAUCUUUCUUUCCCUUUUCUCUACAAUUGUUCACUAAAAGGUGUAAAGAGUUUUAUGAAAGAUAAAAGAAAAUUACAAUAUAAGUUCAAGUGAAGUGUGUACUUCACAACAAAGAUAUUGACAUGUUUAUAUAAGAGGGAGUAUACUCCUUGAAAACAAAACCCAAGGGGUAUUUAAAUCAAGGAUAUUGAUGGAUUCCUUGAAUGGGGCGGUUUGGUUUUCCAUAUCCAUUUUGAAUGUGACUAUGGUACAAUCGCUUUCUUUGACUUGGAGUGAUUUGCUGAUCCAUGUCCAUAAUUAAUAUGUGCAUAGCAAAAUCACUUCUACUUUCUUUUAGUGAUGAUUUCCCUCUAUUCUUGACUUGAUUUCCUCUUGUGAUUGUUUCUUGAUUCUUGACUUGAUUUCCUCUUGUGAUUUUUUGAUCUUCUAGAUCUUUACUCGAGACAGCCUUUGGCUUGUUCUUCCUUAUGCAGGUCUGCUGGAAUCAUGGAUUUGAUUGCAUAUCAAGAUGGACUUGAUUGACCGUUCCAAGACUGUAUGAAACUGUCUACCUUUGAUUUACGAAUCAUAUUUUUUUCCUUCUUAUUGUUGCAUAUGUGGUUCCCUUUUCAUUUGAAUUGUUUUACUUGAUUUCAUCAUAUCAAUCAAGAUAUGAUUGAUUGAUUCUGGAAGCUUUUAAUAUUUCUUUCCUUUCUUUGUUUUCUUUGGG
rnacentral:lncRNA from 1 species